CCUACGGGGGGCAGCAGUGAGGAAUAUUGGUCAAUGGCCGCAAGGCUGAACCAGCCAAGUCGCGUGAGGGAGGAUGGUCCUAUGGAUUGUAAACCUCUUUUGUCAGGGAGCAAAGGGCGCCACGUGUGGCGCUUUGCGAGUACCUGAAGAAAAAGCAUCGGCUAACUCCGUGCCAGCAGCCGCGGUAAUACGGAGGAUGCGAGCGUUAUCCGGAUUUAUUGGGUUUAAAGGGUGCGCAGGCGGAAUGUCAAGUCAGCGGUAAAAUUUCGGGGCUCAACCCCGUCGUGCCGUUGAAACUGGGGUUCUUGAGUGAGCGAGAAGUAUGCGGAAUGCGAGGUGUAGCGGUGAAAUGCGUAGAUAUCACGCAGAACUCCGAUUGCGAAGGCAGCAUACCGGCGUUCAACUGACGCUGAUGCACGAAAGCGUGGGUAUCGAACAGGAUUAGAUACCCGAGUAGUC
rnacentral:rRNA from 1 species